rnacentral:misc_RNA from 1 species
CAACCCUCAGGCUCCGCCUGGCGUUGGGGUCCUGCGCUGCAGCCCCCGAAAGUCAGCGGCGGGUGCGCCCUCGCACCGAACGCAGUAAUACAUCUCGUUCUGGGACGCGGGCGCUCUCCGGCCGUAAAAAGACACCACUUUCCAAU